rnacentral:rRNA from 1 species
UACGGAGGGUGCAAGCGUUGUCCGGAUUCAUUGGGUUUAAAGGGUGCGUAGGCGGUCCUUUAAGUCAGCGGUGAAAUCCCACGGCUCAACCGUGGAACUGCCGUUGAUACUGAGGGACUUUGAGUUCGUCCGAGGUCGCUGGAAUGCGUGGUGUAGCGGUGAAAUGCAUAGAUAUCACGCAGAACACCGAUUGCGAAGGCAGGUGACUGGGACGCGACUGACGCUGGAGGCACGAAAGUGUGGGG